GACGAACGCUGGCGGCGUGCUUAACACAUGCAAGUCGAACGAUGACGCCCGAGCUUGCUCGUUCUGAUUAGUGGCGAACGGGUGAGUAACACGUGAGCAACCUGCCCUUCACUCUGGGAUAACCUCGGGAAAUCGGGGCUAAUACCGGAUAUGAGCUCCUGUCGCAUGGCGGGCGUUGGAAAGUCUUUCGGUGCAGGAUGGGCUCGCGGCCUAUCGGUUUGUUUGUUUGGUAGUGGCUCACCAAGGCGAUGACGGGUAGCCGGCCUGAGAGGGCGACCGGCCACACUGGGACUGAGACACGGCCCAGACUCCUACGGGAGGCAGCAGUGGGGAAUAUUGCACAAUGGGCGAAAGUCUGAUGCAGCGACGCCGCGGUAGGGAUGACGGCCUUCGGGUUGUAAACCUCUGUCAGCAGGGAAGAAGCGAAAGUGACGGUACCUGCAGAAGAAGCGCCGGCUAACUACGUG
rnacentral:rRNA from 1 species